AUCUAUUCUAUUCAAUCUGUACAAAAAGUCGUACAUUGUAAGAGAUGUUGAGUUGUUAUCAAUGUGUAUACGUUAUACUAUGCCCUUUACUUAAUCCCUUUUACCGGUUUACAUGUAAGAAAAAUGAUUGAUUGCUGGUUUAAAGGUUGCUAAACGUCCAGCGGCAAAUAUAUAAUGCAUAUAAGGGAUAAGAAAGCAUAAGAUAUACAUACUAUAUGCAUGUAUUAAAGUAGAGGCCGUCUGGGAUG
rnacentral:lncRNA from 1 species